rnacentral:rRNA from 1 species
GACGAACGCUGGCGGCGUGCUUAACACAUGCAAGUCGAACGGAAAGGCCCUGCUUUUGUGGGGUGCUCGAGUGGCGAACGGGUGAGUAACACGUGAGUAACCUGCCCUUGACUUUGGGAUAACUUCAGGAAACUGGGGCUAAUACCGUAUAGGAGCUCCUGCUGCAUGGUGGGGGUUGGAAAGUUUCGGCGGUUGGGGAUGGACUCGCGGCUUAUCAGCUUGUUGGUGGGGUAGUGGCUUACCAAGGCUUUGACGGGUAGCCGGCCUGAGAGGGUGACCGGCCACAUUGGGACUGAGAUACGGCCCAGAGUCCUACGGGAGGCAGCAGUGGGGAAUAUUGCACAAUGGGCGGAAGCCUGAUGCAGCAACGCCGCGUGCGGGAUGACGGCCUUCGGGUUGUAAACCGCUUUCGCCUGUGACGAAGCGUGAGUGACGGUAAUGGGUAAAGAAGCACCGGCUAACUACGUG